UACAGAGGGUGCGAGCGUUGUCCGGAAUCACUGGGCGUAAAGGGCGCGUAGGCGGAUGGUACAGUCAGACGUGAAAUUCCUGGGCUCAACCUGGGGGCUGCGUUUGAUACGUGCUGUCUGGAGUUCGGAAGAGGGUCGUGGAAUUCCCAGUGUAGAGGUGAAAUUCGUAGAUAUUAGGGAAGAACACCGGUGGCGAAGGCGGCCGACCUGGAUCCGGUACUGACGCUGAGGCGCGAAAGCGUGGGGAGCAAACAGGAUUAGAACUACCGUGUCAGUCCAAGACCAGU
rnacentral:rRNA from 1 species